rnacentral:lncRNA from 10 species
GCGCGGGCCCGGCUGGGUAGACGGGGAGCGGCGGGAGCCGGCCGCCUUUUCUUUCUUCGCCCCGGACUGAAGUGCGGUCGGGGCCGCGCGGCGGAGCGGCUGGAGCGCGCGCCUCCUAGCGGAGCCGGGGCAAUUGGAAGGCCGCGCCUCAGGAAAACAGGAUGGUAGUGAAUGGCACCGAGCCGCCCCAGGGCUGCCGCCGUCACCUCCUCGGCGGCUCCGAGUCGUGCGAGGCAGGGGACCCUUUGCCUUCAGAACAGGGCGCCCGACGUUGGGCGCGUGGACAGAGUCCUCCGGCGGCCGCGCCGCUGGGCCAGGCGGAGAGAGGCGGACGGACUUCAGGGGAGGCCCGGGCCACGCCGCGGAAACUACCCGACUCCCUGGAGGCGGCCAGGACCGACCCUGUCCCGACAAAAUGGAGUUCCCCGUGUGGCUUCAGCUCGCGGCGCGUUCCCAGAGCUCCUCAGUGAUCCGGCUUUCGGAUUGUUCGCCUUUCAUCUCAUUUGCCGUUGUCCAAAUUCUAAUUUAAAACUCAUGUGUUACUUGCUGUAAGGUUAACAAACGUACACCGCAAACUGGAUAAAGGGAUAACUUUUAUGUUGUGUAUGUUUUACCACAAUAAAAAUAAAUUUUGUAAAAAUGUGUCAGGCAGCAUUCUGAGGAGCUUCCCUGGGGGGUGCUGGGAACACCCUGCAAACAGCCUCCGAUACGGGGAGCCGGUGGAUACCAUCCUUUUCCAGGGAGGGAGGCCAAGGCCUAGGGAAAUGGCAGGGCUGCCUUCCAAAGAGUAGCAGAGCGGGUUCAGGCUUUUAUUCCACCUUCCAGAGAGACACAUACUGCGGGAACCCUAACUCCA